GGAGAAAGAGGGGCGCACUGCAAAAAGAAGAGGAAGGAGAAGAAAACAUGCCCAUCUAGGUUGUAUCCUCACACAUCACAGCCGCGUGCACGUGAGAAAACUUUGCACUUGAGCCUCGUCCAGUACAGGGUGACUGUGGGGAGCGAUGUUUGAACACGACGGAUGUUUUUGGCAAUAUGGCCAGCAACCGAGGACAUUACCAUUAUUUUAACAAUCCUUAUUCUCAGUCAGGGUUGCGCAUAUUUUUCCUUUCAAGUUAAGUCACAUUGAUCAUGUUUCACUUGUACAGUUAUUAAAGACGUUAUCCAUUU